rnacentral:rRNA from 1 species
GUGAGGAAUAUUGCACAAUGGGCGAAAGCCUGAUGCAGCAACGCCGCGUGAGGGACGACGGCCUUCGGGUUGUAAACCUCUUUUAGUAGGGAAGAAGCGAAAGUGACGGUACCUGCAGAAAAAGCACCGGCUAACUACGUGCCAGCAGCCGCGGUAAUACGUAGGGUGCAAGCGUUAUCCGGAAUUAUUGGGCGUAAAGAGCUCGUAGGCGGUCUGUCGCGUCUGCUGUGAAAACUGGAGGCUCAACCUCCAGCCUGCAGUGGGUACGGGCAGACUAGAGUGCGGUAGGGGAGAUUGGAAUUCCUGGUGUAGCGGUGGAAUGCGCAGAUAUCAGGAGGAACACCGAUGGCGAAGGCAGAUCUCUGGGCCGUAACUGACGCUGAGGAGCGAAAGCGUGGGGAGCGAACAGGAUUAGAAACCCUAGUAGUCC